ACACCUCAACUCUCAUGGCUUGCCAUGAUGAGCUUGGACUUUGGGGGUCUUGCUGGCCUAUGGGUCAGCUCCUCUCAAAUGAAUUAGCUUGCCGGUGUUUGGUGGCAUCACAUGUGUGAUAACUAUCUACGCUUGUGGUUUCCACCAGGUAACCCCCAGCAAUGGAGGUUCACUGGAGCUCAUAAACGUCUCUCCUCAGUGGGGACAGAUUUUGACC
rnacentral:misc_RNA from 1 species